rnacentral:rRNA from 1 species
AACGAACGCUGGCGGCAUGCCUAACACAUGCAAGUCGAACGAGACCUUCGGGUCUAGUGGCGCACGGGUGCGUAACGCGUGGGAAUCUGCCCUUGGGUUCGGAAUAACAGUGAGAAAUUACUGCUAAUACCGGAUGAUGUCUUCGGACCAAAGAUUUAUCGCCCAGGGAUGAGCCCGCGUAGGAUUAGCUAGUUGGUGGGGUAAUGGCCUACCAAGGCGACGAUCCUUAGCUGGUCUGAGAGGAUGAUCAGCCACACUGGGACUGAGACACGGCCCAGACUCCUACGGGAGGCAGCAAUGGGGAAUAUUGGAUAAUGGGCGCAAGCCUGAUCCAGCAAUGCCGCGUGAGUGAUGAAGGCCUUAGGGUUGUAAAGCUCUUUUACCCGGGAUGAUAAUGACAGUACCGGGAGAAUAAGCUCCGGCUAACUCCGUG